rnacentral:tRNA from 2 species
GCCCGCCUAGCUCAAUCGGAUAGAGCGUCAGACUCUUAUCCUAUUAUUAGGCAUCUGAAGGCUGCGAGUUCGACCCUCGCGGUGGGCU